CCUACGGGAGGCAGCAGUGGGGAAUAUUGCACAAUGGGGGAAACCCUGAUGCAGCAAAGCCGCGUGAGUGAAGAAGUACUUCGGUAUGGAAAGCUCUAUCAGCAGGGAAGAGAAUGACGGUACGUGACUAAGAAGCCCCGGCUAACUACGUGCCAGCAGCCGCGGUAAUACGUAGGGGGCAAGCGUGCUCCUGGAUGACUGGGGGUAAAGGGAGCGUAAACCGCUGUACAAGUCUGAAGGUAAAGCCCGUGGCCCAACCGCGGAACUGCUUUGGAAACUGUAAAGCUGGAGUGCUGGAGAGGUAGGCGGAAUUCCUAGUGUAGCGGUGAAAUGCGUAGAUAUUAGGAGGAACACCAGUGGCGAAGGCGGCCUACUGGACCGAAACUGACGUUGAGGCUCGAAAGCGUGGGGAGCAAACAGGAUUAGAUACCCCUGUAGUC
rnacentral:rRNA from 1 species